CCGUUUGACCACACAAAUGGCCUUGCCGACCACGUCAACAAACCCUCCCUUCUCCUUAACCUGCCUGAGAGCCUUCAUUCAAUUUUUAUCAAAAAAUGCAAGAUCCCUGGUCACACUUCUAAAACACUGGCGCAACACCUACCAAUUUAGACCAAAAAUUGUCUAUUUAUAAUGUUCCGCCCAUUCAACCACCCAAAGAGCCCCGCCGACCCUGCUAACCUACC
rnacentral:lncRNA from 1 species